UACGUAGGGCGCAAGCGUUGUCCGGAAUCAUUGGGCGUAAAGAGCGUGUAGGCGGCCCGAUAAGUCCGCUGUGAAAGUCCAGGGCUCAACCCUGGAAUGCCGGUGGAUACUGUCGGGCUAGAGUGCGGGAGAGGCGAGUGGAAUUCCUGGUGUAGCGGUGAAAUGCGCAGAUAUCAGGAGGAACACCAAUUGCGAAGGCAGCUCGCUGGGACGUUACUGACGCUGAGACGCGAAAGCGUGGGGAGCAAACAGG
rnacentral:rRNA from 1 species